rnacentral:rRNA from 1 species
AGCGAACGCUGGCGGCAGGCUUAACACAUGCAAGUCGAGCGGGCAUCCUUGUGGUGUCAGCGGCAGACGGGUGAGUAACGCGUGGGAACGUGCCCUUCGGUUCGGAAUAACUCAGGGAAACUUGAGCUAAUACCGGAUACGUGCGAGAGCAGAAAGGUUUAUCUGCCGAAGGAUCGGCCCGCGUCUGAUUAGCUAGUUGGUGAGGUUAUGGCUCACCAAGGCGACGAUCAGUAGCUGGUCUGAGAGGAUGAUCAGCCACACUGGGACUGAGACCCGGCCCCGAACCCUUCGGGAGGGAGGCAGGGGGGAUAGUGGAACAUGGGGGCAACCCUGAUCCAGCCAUGCCGCGUGAGUGAUGACGGCCUUAGGGUUGUAAAGCUCUUUUCUCCGGGACGAUAAUGACGGUACCGGAGGAAUAAGCCCCGGCUAACUUCGUG